AACGAACGCUGGCGGCAGGCCUAACACAUGCAAGUCGAACGCCCUAGCAAUAGGGAGUGGCAGACGGGUGAGUAACACGUGGGAACGUGCCCUUCGGUUCGGAAUAACUCAGGGAAACUUGAGCUAAUACCGGAUACGUGCGAGAGCAGAAAGAUUUAUCGCCGAAGGAUCGGCCCGCGUCCGAUUAGCUAGUUGGUGAGGUAAUGGCUCACCAAGGCGACGAUCGGUAGCUGGUCUGAGAGGAUGACCAGCCACACUGGGACUGAGACACGGCCCAGACUCCUACGGGAAGCAGCAGUGGGGAAUAUUGGACAAUGGGCGCAAGCCUGAUCCAGCCAUGCCGCGUGAGUGAUUAAGGCCCUAGGGUUGUAAAGCUCUUUCGCCAGGGACGAUAAUGACGGUACCUGGAUAAGAAGCCCCGGCUAACUUCGUGCCAGCCGCCGCAGUAA
rnacentral:rRNA from 1 species